UACGUAGGCAGCGAGCGUUGUUCGGAGUUACUGGGCGUAAAGCGUGCGUAGGCGGUGGUCCAAGUCUGGUGUGAAAUCUCCCGGCUUAACUGGGAGGGUGCGCCGGAAACUGGGCUGCUGGAGUGCGGGAGAGGUAAGCGGAAUUCCCGGUGUAGCGGUGAAAUGCGUAGGUAUCGGGAGGAACACCUGCGGUGUAGACGGCUUACUGGACCGCCACUGACGCUGAGGCACGAAAGCGUGGGUAGCAAACAGG
rnacentral:rRNA from 1 species